GACGAACGCUGGCGGCGUGCUUAACACAUGCAAGUCGAACGGAAAGGCCCUGCUUUUGUGGGGUGCUCGAGUGGCGAACGGGUGAGUAGCACGUGAGUAACCUGCCCUUGACUUUGGGAUAACUUCAGGAAACUGGGGCUAAUACCGGAUAGGAGCUCCUGCUGCAUGGUGGGGGUUGGAAAGUUUCGGCGGUUGGGGAUAGACUCGCGGCUUAUCAGCUUGUUGGUGGGGUAGUGGCUUACCAAGGCUUUGACGGGUAGCCGGCCUGAGAGGGUGACCGGCCACAUUGGGACUGAGAUACGGCCCAGACUCCUACGGGAGGCAGCAGUGGGGAAUAUUGCACAAUGGGCGGAAGCCUGAUGCAGCAACGCCGCGUGCGGGAUGACGGCCUUCGGGUUGUAAACCGCUUUCGCCUGUGACGAAGCGUGAGUGACGGUAAUGGGUAAAGAAGCACCGGCUAACUACGUG
rnacentral:rRNA from 1 species